UUCCUACGGGGGGCAGCAGUGAGGAAUAUUGGUCAAUGGGCGAAAGCCUGAACCAGCCAAGUCGCGUGAGGGAAGAAGGCCCUGCGGGUCGCAGACCUCUUUGGACGGGGAGCAAGGCCGCCGACGUGUCGGCGGAAGGAGAGUACCCGUAUAACAAGCAUCGGCUAACUCCGUGCCAGCAGCCGCGGUAAUAAGUAGGAUGCGGGCAUUAUCCGGAUUUAUUGGUUUUGAAGGGUGCGCAGGC
rnacentral:rRNA from 1 species